CUAAAGAAAAAAAAAAGCAAGUAAAUGAUAAUGAUUCCAUAAAUUUGCAUAACCAUUUAAGCAAAAUAAUUAUACUCUUUUCACCUUUUGGUCAUAUCACACAUAGUUAUCAUUUGUUAAAUGUAUUAUCUCGUGGUCACCAACACAGAAAUGCACAAAUCCAAAGAAACAAAUUAGGUUUUGUAUUUAGAUUUCCAUAUUGGUCUU
rnacentral:misc_RNA from 1 species